rnacentral:rRNA from 1 species
AACGAACGCUGGCGGCGUGCCUAACACAUGCAAGUCGAGCGGGAAAGUUCCCUUCGGGGAGCGAGUACAGCGGCGCACGGGUGAGUAACACGUAGGUAACCUACCCUGGAGACCGGGAUAACCUGCCGAAAGGCGGGCUAAUACCGGAUGAGACCACGAGGGCUGCGGCCCUUGAGGAAAAAGAUGGCCUCUACUUGUAAGCUAUCACUCCGGGAUGGGCCUGCGCGCCAUUAGCUAGUUGGGAGGUAACGGCUCACCAAGGCCGAGAUGGCUAGCUGGUCUGAGAGGAUGGCCAGCCACACUGGGACUGAGACACGGCCCAGACUCCUACGGGAGGCAGCAGUGGGGAAUAUUGCGCAAUGGGCAAAGCCUGACGCAGCGACGCCGCGUGGGUGAUGAAGGCC